UCCUGGUUCACCCAGGCAGUCUCGCUAGAGUCCCCGCCAUUACGCGUUGGCAACUAACGAUAAGGGUUGCGCUCGUUGCGGGACUUAACCCAACACCUCACGGCACGAGCUGACGACAGCCAUGCAGCACCUGUGCAAAGGCCCUUGCGGGAGAUGUCAUUUCUGUUCAUCGUCCUCUGCAUGUCAAAUCCAGGUAAGGUUCUUCGCGUUGCUUCGAAUUAAACCACAUGCUCCACUGCUUGUGCGGGCCCCCGUCAAUUCUUUUGAGUUUUACUCUUGCGAGCGUACUCCUCAGGCGGCAUACUUAACGCGUUAGCUUGCGACACAAUCGGGGUUGAGUCCAAUUACAUCUAGUAUGCAUCGUUUACGGCAAGGACUAC
rnacentral:misc_RNA from 1 species